rnacentral:pre_miRNA from 1 species
AGGUCGUGAUAGGUGGCAAUGUUGUACCCACACAAAUAUUGCACUUGUCCCGGCCUUU